GUGGGGAAUCUUAGACAAUGGGCGCAAGCCUGAUCUAGCCAUGCCGCGUGAGCGAUGAAGGCCUUAGGGUUGUAAAGCUCUUUCGUGGGGGAAGAUAAUGACUGUACCCCAAGAAGAAGCCCCGGCUAACUCCGUGCCAGCAGCCGCGGUAAUACGGAGGGGGCUAGCGUUGUUCGGAAUUACUGGGCGUAAAGCGCACGUAGGCGGACUGGAAAGUCAGGGGUGAAAUCCCGGGGCUCAACCCCGGAAAUGCCUUUGAAACUCCCAGUCUUGAGUUCGGGAGAGGUGAGUGGAAUUCCGAGUGUAGAGGUGAAAUUCGUAGAUAUUCGGAGGAACACCAGUGGCGAAGGCGGCUCACUGGCUCGAUACUGACGCUGAGGUGCGAAAGCGUGGGGAGCAAACAGGAUUAGAAACCCGUGUAGUCC
rnacentral:rRNA from 1 species